AGUCGACGAUGAGCCCCAAGCUUGCUGGGUGGAUUAGUGGCGAACGGGUGAGUAACACGUGAGUAACCUGCCCUUAACUCUGGGAUAAGCCUGGGAAACUGGGUCUAAUACCGGAUAGGAGCGUCCACCGCAUGGUGGGUGUUGGAAAGAUUUAUCGGUUUUGGAUGGACUCGCGGCCUAUCAGCUUGUUGGUGAGGUAAUGGCUCACCAAGGCGACGACGGGUAGCCGGCCUGAGAGGGUGACCGGCCACACUGGGACUGAGACACGGCCCAGACUCCUACGGGAGGCAGCAGUGGGGAAUAUUGCACAAUGGGCGAAAGCCUGAUGCAGCGACGCCGCGUGAGGGAUGACGGCCUUCGGGUUGUAAACCUCUUUCAGUAGGGAAGAAGCGAAAGUGACGGUACCUGCAGAAGAAGCACCGGCUAACUACGUGCCAGCAGCCGCGGUAAUACGUAGGGUGCGAGCGUUAUCCGGAAUUAUUGGGCGUAAAGAGCUCGUAGGCGGUUUGUCGCGUCUGUCGUGAAAGUCCGGGGCUUAACCCCGGAUCUGCGGUGGGUACGGGCAGACUAGAGUGCAGUAGGGGAUACUGUAAUUCCUGGUGUAGCGGUGA
rnacentral:rRNA from 1 species